rnacentral:rRNA from 1 species
UGGGGGAUAUUGCACAAUGGGGGAAACCCUGAUGCAGCGACGCCGCGUGGAGGAAGAAGGUUUUCGGAUUGUAAACUCCUGUCGUUAGUGACGAUAAUGACGGUACCUAACAAGAAAGCACCGGCUAACUACGUGCCAGCAGCCGCGGUAAAACGUAGGGUGCAAGCGUUGUCCGGAAUUACUGGGUGUAAAGGGAGCGCAGGCGGGAAGACAAGUUGGAAGUGAAAACCAUGGGCUCAACCCAUGAAUUGCUUUCAAAACUGUUUUUCUUGAGUAGUGCAGAGGUAGAUGGAAUUCCCGGUGUAGCGGUGGAAUGCGUAGAUAUCGGGAGGAACACCAGUGGCGAAGGCGGUCUACUGGGCACCAACUGACGCUGAGGCUCGAAAGCAUGGGUAGCAAACAGGAUUAGAUACCCUGGUAGUCCAUGCCGUAAACGAUGAUUACUAGGUGUUGGGGGAUUGACCCCCUCAGUGCCGCAGUUAACACAAUAAGUAAUCCACCUGGGGAGUACGACCGCAAGGUUGAAACUCAAAGGAAUUGACGGGGGCCCGCACAAGCAGUGGAGUAUGUGGUUUAAUUCGAAGCAACGCGAAGAACCUUACCAGGUCUUGACAUCGAGUGACGUAUCCAGAGAUGGAUAUUUCCUUCGGGACACAAAGACAGGUGGUGCAUGGUUGUCGUCAGCUCGUGUCGUGAGAUGUUGGGUUAAGUCCCGCAACGAGCGCAACCCUUAUCAUUAGUUGCUACGCAAGAGCACUCUAAUGAGACUGCCGUUGACAAAACGGAGGAAGGUGGGGAUGACGUCAAAUCAUCAUGCCCCUUAUGACCUGGGCUACACACGUACUACAAUGGCGAUCGAACAGAGGGAAGCAAGACAGCGACGUGGAGCCAAUCCCAAAAAAUCGCCCCAGUUCAGAUUGCAGGCUGCAACUCGCCUGCAUGAAGUCGGAAUUGCUAGUAAUCGCAGAUCAGCAUGCUGCGGUGAAUACGUUCCC